GGUCUCGUCCGCCUCCGCCGCCUUCCUGCCAGUCUACCACUUUCUCACCCAGGGAGGCCUAGAACGCGAGCCACAUUCGCCCCCGGCCCUGACCCCAGGCGCGACUGCAGAGCCUCCCGAGCGGGACCGGUCUUCCGAGUGGACGGUUAGGCCACGGGUAUUCAAGCGCUGCGAGUUCGCCAGCCUUAUUGUAGCGGCCAGGCCUGAAGGGCUAGGCCACCGCUGAACUACAUUUCCCAGCAGGCAACGCGGCCGCAGUUUCGCUUCCAAAAGGAGGAAGCUAUUCCCCAUGUCAUGAAGACCCCAUGGAGACAGCCAUGUGUUGAGGAACACAGCGUCCUGCCAGCAGCCAGCACCCACUUGCCAGCCUUUCAUGGAGGCAUUUGUUGAAAUGGAGGUGCCAAAAGAUUGAAGAGAUGUGGAUUGCUGACCCACUGCAUGAAGGUGGUUGCCCUACAGAGUCACCUGGACCUGCACUGACUUGGUAUAAAGCCCUUCAUCACCUACUGCUCUCAAAUCCCAAGGAUCGACAGGCCGUGUCUUCGUAUCUAAGUUUGGAAAGAACCCAGCUCUAUGAGGUUUGAUCUGUUUUGUUUGUGGAUGAGGAAGCAAGCACAAGGAGUAAAGUGGCCAAGGUGACAUGACCAUGAAUUAUCAGAAUCCAGA
rnacentral:lncRNA from 1 species